rnacentral:lncRNA from 1 species
AUGCUCUGCUCUUCCAGCACUCGGCCACCGUUUGCCGGGCUCCGUGCAGAGUACGGGUCUGUGGUACCGGCAGCCCACAGCUGGGCACUGCGGGCUGACCGAGGCUGUCAGCAGGGAACAGAACGAGGAGCUCGAGCUGCCGGCUGUCUUCUCCAACGCGGUGCAGGGAAGGGACGCUCAGCAAGAGCGGAAGCAGGAGAGCCGUGCAGCGCCUCAGCCUCUCCCCUGCCCGCGCUUUCCGUCCCCGUGCCGUUCCUGGCUGAGGUUCGGCCGCCCGCUCAGAAGCGGGGCCCGUCGGGGUGCCGCGCGGGGUCUCCGGCACCCAUCCGCCGCUCCUGUGCCACCCGCCUCAGCCGUUCCCCGUCCUCGGUGUCCCGUGGCGGUUCCUCGAACCGGCUGCGCUGCUUGGGCUCCCCGUGCCAGGAGGAGCUGCGCACCAGCGGGCGAAGGGGAUUGUGAUCGACGCUCAGUCCUCUCGCAAGACUCUGACGUCUCACACAUUGACAAGGUCUCAGUGUCUCAUGCUCCCCCAGGAAGACGUUCAAGCCUCAAGAGUCGCCAAUAGGACACAAUGCGAGCUGGGCUUGCUGGCUAUGGGUAGGCACACAGCCCACUGUGAGGUUGUGGGGUGACUGUGACUCUCCGAUGCCGUCACGAAGCACACAGACAGCUGGAGGUUUGCUGUGCAUAGCUGUCGCAUUCAUAGCUUUGGCAUUUGCCUGCCAGAGUCCACCCAAGCAAGGACUUUCGCUGGGACAUUUCCUCACAAAUGAUACUGGUGACGGCUGCUGGCUGCUAGAAACAGCUGACGCAAGUGGACAAAGCUGAAGGUGUGUUCAGCACAUCAAGGCCAGUCCAAAUGCAAGUACACAUUGCAUCACUUGCUCUGCCCUUACAGUGCCGGGGGGGAAGAGAGGGGAGUGGGGAUGGGGUAGGGGUUGGGUGAGGGAUUCAUUCUCCCAGUUCCCACCUAGUGGUUUAGGGAUGCAGGGUUCAGGGACAUGAGAAAUACAAGGAUCCUGAGAGCUCUAGUG